UACGAAGGGGGCGAGCGUUGUUCGGAAUUACUGGGCGUAAAGGGCGCGCAGGCGGCUCUGAAAGUCAGAUGUGAAAGCCCCGGGCUUAACCUGGGAAUUGCAUUUGAUACUCUGGAGCUUGAGUACGGGAGAGGAGAGUGGAAUUCCCAGUGUAGAGGUGAAAUUCGUAGAUAUUGGGAAGAACACCGGUGGCGAAGGCGGCUCUCUGGACCGUAACUGACGCUGAGGCGCGAAAGCGUGGGAAGCAAACAGG
rnacentral:rRNA from 1 species